rnacentral:rRNA from 1 species
GCAGCCGCGGUAAUACGGGGGAUGCGAGCGUUAUCCGGAUUUAUUGGGUUUAAAGGGUGCGUAGGCGGUCCGGUAAGUCAGCGGUGAAAUUUCCGAGCUCAACUUGGAACGUGCCGUUGAUACUGUCGGACUAGAAUGCGGAUGCCGUGGGAGGAAUGUGUGGUGUAGCGGUGAAAUGCAUAGAUAUCACACAGAACACCGAUUGCGAAGGCAUCUCACGAAUCCGCGAUUGACGCUGAGGCACGAAAGCGUGGGGAUCAAACAGGAUUAGAUACCCC